CACCUACUCCCUCCGUUCCGAAUUACUUGUUUUGGAUUUGUCUAGAUACAGAUGUAUCUAGACUUAUUUUAGUGAUAGAUACAUCCGUAUCUAGACAAAUUUAAGACAAGUAAUUCGGAACGGAGGGAGUAGUUG
rfam:Triticum aestivum genome assembly, contig: Triticum_aestivum_CS42_TGACv1_scaffold_514454_6BS